rnacentral:rRNA from 1 species
UACGUAGGGUGCAAGCGUUAAUCGGAAUUACUGGGCGUAAAGCGUGCGCAGGCGGUUAUAUAAGACAGUUGUGAAAUCCCCGGGCUCAACCUGGGAACUGCAUCUGUGACUGUAUAGCUAGAGUACGGUAGAGGGGGGAUGGAAUUCCGCGUGUAGCAGUGAAAUGCGUAGAUAUGCGGAGGAACACCGAUGGCGAAGGCAAUCCCCCUGGACCUGUACUGACGCUCAUGCACGAAAGCGUGGGGAGCAAACAGG